rnacentral:rRNA from 1 species
GAUGAACGCUGGCGGCGUGCCUAAUACAUGCAAGUCGAGCGAAUGGAUUAAGAGCUUGCUCUUAUGAAGUUAGCGGCGGACGGGUGAGUAACACGUGGGUAACCUGCCCAUAAGACUGGGAUAACUCCGGGAAACCGGGGCUAAUACCGGAUAACAUUUUGAACCGCAUGGUUCGAAGUUGAAAGGCGGCUUCGGCUGUCACUUAUGGAUGGACCCGCGUCGCAUUAGCUAGUUGGUGAGGUAACGGCUCACCAAGGCAGCGAUGCGUAGCCGACCUGAGAGGGUGAUCGGCCACACUGGGACUGAGACACGGCCCAGACUCCUACGGGAGGCAGCAGUAGGGAAUCUUCCGCAAUGGACGAAAGUCUGACGGAGCAACGCCGCGUGAGUGAUGAAGGCUUUCGGGUCGUAAAACUCUGUUGUUAGGGAAGAACAAGUGCUAGUUGAAUAAGCUGACACCUUGACGGUACCUAACCAGAAAGCCACGGCUAACUACGUGCCAGCAGCCGCGGUAA